rnacentral:tRNA from 1 species
GUUAAUGUAGCUUAAUGAACAAAGCAAGGCACUGAAAAUGCCUAGAUGAGUCUCACGACUCCAUAAACA